AUUGUUCACUCUCCCUAAAGGCUUCAACCAAUUUGUGGACUACACAAAGCUUGAUGCCUUAAGGGAGAGUGGAUAA
rnacentral:pre_miRNA from 1 species